rnacentral:rRNA from 1 species
GAUGAACGCUGACAGAAUGCUUAACACAUGCAAGUCUUUGGCGAAGCUGUGCUUGCACAGCCUAGCCAAGGCGGACGGGUGAGUAACGCGUAAGGAACUUGCCCUGCAGUCAGGGAUAACAGACGGAAACGACUGAUAAGACCUGGUAAAGUCAGGCGGACUCAUGUCCAGCCUGAUGAAAAGAGAUGCUGCAGGAGGGCCUUGCGUCCUAUUAGCUUGUUGGUGGGGUAACGGCCCACCAAGGCGAUGAUAGGUAGCCGGCCUGAGAGGGUGGACGGCCACAAGGGGACUGAGAUACGGCCCUUACUCCUACGGGAGGCAGCAGUGGGGAAUAUUGGACAAUGGGGGCAACCCUGAUCCAGCAAUUCUGUGUGCACGAUGAAGGUUUUCGGAUUGUAAAGUGCUUUCAGCAGGGAAGAAAAAAAUGACGGUACCUGCAGAAGAAGCGACGGCUAAAUACGUG